UUUUUAAGCGCCAGAGCCAUAGUGCAGAUAUUGGCUGACGAGGUGGAAGUUAUCGAAGUUUUCGGCGGAUGCUUCCCGCCCAUUAGCACAGGGACGCAGGUCUUUAACAAAGAGUUUGAGAAAUCGGGCUUACAAAAUAAAGAUAAC
rnacentral:ncRNA from 1 species